rnacentral:misc_RNA from 1 species
GUGAAUCAUCGAAUUUUUGAACGCAAAUUGCACUUUCUGGUAUUCCGGAAAGUAUGCCUGUUUGAGGGUCAGUUAAAUAAAAAUCGGUGUUGUUGCUGCUUUUGGUGGUGAUGUGUCGGUAUGGAGUUGUUUUACUUUCGGUUAAGUGACUUAAAAUUUUGUAUGAUUUUGGAACGUAUUUAAAUCGCUUACGUACGUUUGAGAUAUCGAAUGCUUAUUUGGUUCUGUCAUUUCUAUGCUUGGAGCCUAUAAU